AUUCUGAAGGAGAAAAGCAAAAAUUUACAGCAAAUCAAAGAACCAGUGUUAAAUGAACUUUUCAAGGUCUCAGGAAGCAACACAGUGAUGUUAUAUAACCUGCAGUCUAGUGGGAGGACGCACGCUCAUUCCAGGUUCCCUCUGAAGCAGACACCAACACUCUGUUGGCAAAAUAAUGGGAGAGAUGGAAGCAAAAACACAAAAUGCUGGUUUGUUUCGCAUGCGAGCAUGCACCAGGUGCAGGUGAAGGCUUCAGGAAAAGAGGUAUAACUGCAUUUGGAUAUGACGCUGACAGCAGAAGAAAAAGUCACGCAAACAUUCGACAGGUGGAAGGUUUUUAACCUUCAUUUUCAUUCAUUCAUUUCUGUCUGUUUUGUUCAGUUGAGCUCAUUUUAUUAAGCAGAUUUUUGAGAUAUAGAGGUUUCUGUGAAGUCUUGAGUUGUACGAAUAGUGCAAUACGAAUAAAGUUGAUUCAUUUAUUGAAGUAUUUCAGAAAUAUAUGCGCUAAUGUUAAUGGAAAGGUGUAAAGAAUACAAAAAAUGAAGCCUGUUGUCACUUUGGCUAAUUGUUUUUUCUUUAAAAACACAUUAAUCUGUUAGUUAGAUAGUGACAAAACACAGUGUUGCACUAAAACUUGGACUUAUUUCAAAUAUAAACAGCAUUCCCUUGAAAAAUCUACUCUGCAGUGUCUACAGAGAGUCCUUUCCCAACGCUCCACGCCCGGCGUCUUACCAUUCCA